rnacentral:rRNA from 1 species
UGCCUACGGGAGGCAGCAGUGAGGAAUAUUGGUCAAUGGGAGAGAUCCUGAACCAGCCAAGCCGCGUGAGGGAAGACGGCCCUAUGGGUUGUAAACCUCUUUUGUCGGAGAACAAAACCCGGGACGUGUCCCGGACUGCGUGUAUCCGAAGAAAAAGCAUCGGCUAACUCCGUGCCAGCAGCCGCGGUAAUACGGAGGAUGCGAGCGUUAUCCGGAUUUAUUGGGUUUAAAGGGAGCGUAGAUGGGUUGUUAAGUCAGUUGUGAAAGUUUGCGGCUCAACCGUAAAAUUGCAAUUGAUA